GGAGCAGGAUGAGUUGCAGCAAGUCCUUGAACUCUAAGAAAGGAGGUUGAAUAGUCCGCAGCUUUCGGACUUGGAGAAUAUUCUGAUCCACCACCAGCGCAGUCUCUCGGUUGGGGCUCCUUUUUCUUUUUCCUCAUCAACGAUUUCCCAUGUUAACCAUGCAGGUCUUUCUCUCGAUAAUAUUCAAGAAGAAAUUAUUGGCUACGGUGUCAGCCUCACUUCUUUCGGUUCUUUCGGUGAUGCUUCUAAGCAGAAGCUGCAUCAGCUACAAAAAGAAGCUGAUCCAUCUCGCUUUGAUUAUGUUUUCAAGUCUCGGCCUCGGGUAUGCUAUUCAGGAAAAAGUAAUGCUGGCUGUCAUAGUAUACAGAACCCAACUCUCAUGGACAUUGCAGUCCUUAUUGCUCUUCCACAAUUGCUAAUAUUGAUGCUUUUGAUGUGAACUUCUCAUUGAAAUUUUUAUCAGUCAAGUAAAGUGAACAUAGUCGCAGAGUCUGCGGGGUUUUACCGAGAUUAUGGGUGCUGUUUCGUGGUCGAUUUCCCUCGCACUUAGUAUUGAAAUUGGUGGUGCUUGGUGGUGUUUGUUUAUCAAUUAUUAUAGUUCUUAUAGUUGGGUUAAGAUUCAGUGUUGUUGGUAAUUGUUGUAGCAUAGGUAUUGGUAAAGAUUCAGUGAACUUAUAU